UCCAUGCCGAGGCCCGGGGCUUUAUCCCUCUUUCCGGAAAAAAUGGAUGCAAAACCAUGAACUGAUUUACAUCAUUAUGCAUCAAGAUACCUACAGGGUCCGGCUAUUCCGUUUAAACUGCCCAAAACCUAAGGCGAACCUUCUUAUGAACUUUAUCCCUAUCACAAGAUCAUCACUCAUGGGAGCAAGGGUAAUCAUGUCACAAUCUACAACAUAAACACACAGCUAAUCUUACAUUCCCAAGAAACGCAACAAUAACAUUGCUGACACCAACAUGCGGAUGACAAGAUUUUACAAUUAACUCAACAUGCAUCUAUCUUUGGUUUUGAUCUGUGGCUGGAUUGCUUGUAGCUGAUGAUGCUGGCGCCCUUCCGUUGGCCACCCCAUUUUCCACUGGAGCAGGCGUCCCCCACUUCCCGUCGGACUCCAACGGCUCCAUCACUUUAACAGAUCCAUCUGACAGCCCGACUGCGAAUUGAUUUGGUUCUUGGGGGUGUGCAGC
rnacentral:lncRNA from 1 species